CGGUCGAUAGCGCAUGGAACGCCCGGUUUUCCGCCAACCGCCGAUUUUAUCGCUACCGGAUCGUGAACCGGCGCGGCCGGC
rnacentral:tRNA from 1 species